UAGCUGAGUGGUAAAGCACUUGGCUUCCAAACUAAGAAGUCCUGGGUUCGAGUCUCUG
rnacentral:tRNA from 1 species